rnacentral:rRNA from 1 species
UACGUAGGGGGCAAGCGUUGUCCGGAAUCAUUGGGCGUAAAGAGCGUGUAGGCGGUUCGGUAAGUCGGCUGUGAAAGUCCAGGGCUCAACCCUGGGAUGCCGGUCGAUACUGCCGGACUAGAGUUCGGAAGAGGCGAGUGGAAUUCCCGGUGUAGCGGUGAAAUGACGCAGAUAUCGGGGAGGAACACCUAUGGCGAAGGCAGCUCGCUGGGACGUUACUGACGCUGGAGACGCGAAAGCGUGGGGAGCAAACAGG